UUCAUGUUAUGAAUAUUUUCUUGUCAAAUAACCCUUUUCCACAUCUACGUUAAGUUUUGUGCAUUUACAAUAUUCAAAAUUUUGGAGUGUAUUUCUGCAUGCUCAGAUUUAAACGGAUUAUGGUUGCUACGACCGCGGUUGGUCGACACAAUUGUUGGUGGUUGCAGUUGUGCUUCAUUGUGGACACAGAGAAUGGUGAUUGUUUUCAUGGCCUCAUGUUUGGCUGCGAUAAUGGGUAGCCUGGUCUGGCUGCUUGGUUGCUGGAGAUCUGAACAACAUUAGUUUAAUUUUGAAAAUGGCAACGUAAGGCAAAAAUAGGAGAGUUAUCAUGGUAGUGUCCGCAAAUCUUGGUCCCAAAACAAAUGACAACGGGAGAUCAAGAAGCAGUAAAUGAAUAAGACUUGU